rnacentral:piRNA from 1 species
UAAUCACCAGACCAACGUCAGGACCUGCA